UAGGCGACCGGGUGAGUAACACGUGAUUAACCUACCUUCGAGUGGGGAAUAACUUCGGGAAACCGAAGCUAAUACCGCAUAACAUCCCAAGGACGAGAAGCCCAGGGAUCAAAGGAGCAAUUCGCUUGAAGAGGGGGUCGCGGCUGAUUAGCUAGUUGGUAGGGUAAAGGCCUACCAAGGCAAUGAUCGGUAGCCGGCCUGAGAGGGCACACGGCCACACUGGCACUGAAACACGGGCCAG
rnacentral:rRNA from 1 species